rnacentral:rRNA from 1 species
AUGUUUCAUGGGUUUGCGGUGAACACCGAAUACCAUAGGAAAGUAAAAAAAACUAACGAGUACAGCAGAGGUGAGAUAAGGUGCUACAAGGCACGCGGGAACAAGAGGGGUAAAGGUGUUGUGCCUGUCGUGCCGGAACGAAAGAGAGGCAUCGUUCUCAAGACGGAAUGCUCUGUCCGGUUGAAGCUAAACACAAAUGGAGCAUGGUGGGUGGUCACCAAAUAUUUCGAUGAACACAACCACGAACUCAUAAAUAAGCUUGACCUGGUAAAAUUUCUGAGCGCCCACAGAGGAUUCAGCCCCCUCGAGAAGAAAUUCAUAAAGUUGCUACAUGAUUGUAACGUCGGUUCAUCAAGAAUGGUCCAAAUACUGUCCCUGAUCCACAUCGGAGAUGGUUGUCUGAGUAGCAUGCCCUACAUACCAGCAGACGUCACGAACCUAAAGGAAAAGUACUGUGGAGAGAGCAGGUUGGCUGACAUAGAAGACACAAUAGCCUACUUCAAACAGAAAGCAAAAGCAGAUACUAAUUUCUUCUAUAGGAUAAGAUUGGACGAUGUGGACCAUGUCAGAAACAUGUAUUGGGUGGAUGGUGCUGCAAGAAGAGCCUACAAACAUUUCCGUGAUUGCAUUUCGUUUGACGUGACAUAUCUCAUGAAUAUGUACAAGAUUCCCUGCGCUCCAUUCAUAGGAAUAAAUAACCACAAUACAGAUGGUUACACUUGGCUGUUCAAAACCUUCUUGGAGUGCAUGGGCGGACUUGCUCCAAUGAACAUAAUAACAGACCAGGAUUUUAGCAUGCAUGCAGGCAUAGAGGAGGUCUUUCCGUUGGCAGUGCACAGGCACUACAGGUGGCAUAUUAUUAAGAAGGCUGAGGAGACGCUAGGACCAUUCUUUGCUACUAUGCAGCGCAGCGAGGGGUUCAAUGCUGUUUUGAAGCGGUACGACGGGAUUGUGUGCUGUCACAUACUCAAAAUAAUGGACAUGCACGCGGUCACGCGAUUGCCCCGCCAUUUCAUACGACGGCGAUGGACUUGGGACGCUGACGAUGCGUUGGGGCCACAAACAUCAAACGCAGUUUUGGCUGUGCAUGAUGACAGACCAGAGGCAACCAUGGACGCUGUGAGGCACGUUGUAUUAACCAAGAACUAUGAUGAGCUCAUAGAUGAAGCAUGCAAGAGUGAUGAGACAGCGAGGGUGGCAGAAAAACACAGGAAGGCCCUUAAGAGAGAUUGA